GGGGGAAUAUUGCACAAUGGGCGCAAGCCUGAUGCAGCCAUGCCGCGUGUAUGAAGAAGGCCUUCGGGUUGUAAAGUACUUUCAGCGAGGAGGAAGGCAUUGUGGUUAAUAACCACAGUGAUUGACGUUACUCGCAGAAGAAGCACCGGCUAACUCCGUGCCAGCAGCCGCGGUAAUACGGAGGUGCAAGCGUUAAUCGGAAUUACUGGGCGUAAAGCGCACGCAGGCGGUCUGUCAAGUCGGAUGUGAAAUCCCCGGGCUCGAACCUGGGAACUGCAUUCGAAACUGGCAGGCUAGAGUCUUGUAGAGGGGGUAGAAUUCCAGGUGUAGCGGUGAAAUGCGUAGAGAUCUGGAGAUACCGGUGCGAAGGCGGCCCCUGGACAAGACUGACGCUCAGGUG
rnacentral:rRNA from 1 species